UACGGAGGAUGCGAGCGUUAUCCGGAUUUAUUGGGUUUAAAGGGUGCGUAGGCGGGAUGCCAAGUCAGCGGUAAAAAUGCGGUGCUCAACGCCGUCGAGCCGUUGAAACUGGCGUUCUUGAGUGGGCGAGGAGUAUGCGGAAUGCGUGGUGUAGCGGUGAAAUGCAUAGAUAUCACGCAGAACUCGGAUUGCGAAGGCGGCAUACCGGCGCCCUACUGACGCUGAGGCACGAAAGCGUGGGUAUCGAACAGG
rnacentral:rRNA from 1 species